GUGGGGAAUAUUGGACAAUGGGCGAAAGCCUGAUCCAGCCAUGCCGCGUGAGUGAUGAAGGCCUUAGGGUUGUAAAGCUCUUUCAGUAGGGAAGAUAAUGACAGUACCUACAGAAGAAGCCCCGGCUAACUUCGUGCCAGCAGCCGCGGUAAUACGAAGGGGGCUAGCGUUGUUCGGAUUUACUGGGCGUAAAGCGCACGUAGGCGGAUUGGUCAGUUAGAGGUGAAAUCCUGGAGCUCAACUCCAGAACUGCCUUUAAUACUGCCAGUCUAGAGUCCAGAAGAGGUGAGUGGAACUCCUAGUGUAGAGGUGGAAUUCGUAGAUAUUAGGAAGAACACCAGUGGCGAAGGCGGCUCACUGGUCUGGUACUGACGCUGAGGUGCGAAAGCGUGGGGAGCAAACAGGAUUAGAUACCCGAGUAGUCC
rnacentral:rRNA from 1 species